CUGGUUGUGAAUUUCAACCAAAUGGGUGAAUGGUAGUCACUGGGGGCACUUGUCAAUGGUAUUUGGUUUGCAUACUAAAGCUUACUGUACUUGGCUUUGUUCAGCCUUUCUUGAUGUUGGCUGUCGAGAACUUGUCCAUUUUCCCUUCAUAUCAAAGAAGAUACUCCAGUUCAUUAGGGAAACAGCAUCGCUGGGUUUACGUCACCAAAUCAAAAAAACUAAUAUGAGUUAAUUAGUGUGCUUUAUCGAUAUAGGGGGUUCUAAUAUCAUGUCUUGGUUGUCAUGAGAAUUAUUUUGAUGGAAACUAUUUAGGGUUCGUUGCUGUAUGUUCAUAAUGAAUUAUAACCAUUUCUGCAA
rnacentral:misc_RNA from 1 species